GGGGAUGUAGCUCAGUUGGUAGAGCGCCAGCUUUGCAUGUUGGAUGCCAGGAGUUCGAGUCUCCUCAUCUCCA
rnacentral:tRNA from 1 species